rnacentral:lncRNA from 1 species
AAAGUUUCAUACAACCUUAGGAACACAUCUGCAUAUGACAAGGACAAAUUCAGGCCAAGGUGUUGAUUUUAAAAUUUGCCUUAUGACCAUUCAGAAGUCUAAUAUUCAGCAUAUUAUGGGGCUUGAUUUUUCUGGAGUACAGAGUAAAGUUGAAAGUCAACUAGUGUUGACUUGUGGAGACAAUGAUGUGAGAAAAGUCUGUUGAUACUUUUGCCUUUAAGUUACAUUCACUCAUUUGGGGGCUUUCUUGCAGGCUUUCAGCAGGCACAUUGCUUCUUUCACACUUUCAUUCUUUUCCCACACACUUUCCAGAGUAUUCUAGCACAGGAAACUCAGACUGUGUCAUUUGUCAUGAUUCUCACCUUUUACACGUGGAGAAAUUAUACAAGUAGAGAAAUGGGAGGCCACUUGUAUAAUCUCACAUCAACUCCAUAUUUUGAGAUACACAGAAUGAUUUCAUCAAAAUAUGCCUUGUGUACACAUGCAUAGUACCCAGACAACAGAAUAUCUUGGGUGGUACUAAUGAGGAUUAUGCCUAGAGUAUUUUGGAGUGUUUAAUUUUCAUGCAAAGAGUUAACUUAUUACUAUUGUACUAAUUGGUAUUUAUCAUCCCAUUUUCUACAUUUUAAGAUAAAUAUGUUGAUGACUAGGUAAAGCUGUCAUUUUGUGUUGCCUUCAGAGUACUAAUGUGUUACACUAGUAUCUUUUGUGAGAUAUCAUUUAGUUUCUGCCCUGCACAUGUUUUACAUGCAAUGUGUUUUAAGUGUGUACAGGUAUCAUCUUAGAAAGACCGUUUGGUACUUAAGCAAUGGAUCAGGUGUCUUGGAAAAAGUAGUAUUAUAGAUGUCUUUCAAAGCAUAUUUAGGAUUUGGAAGUUCCAAUUAAAUACUAAUGAGAUCAUAGAAUAAGUAAAGAAAACACUCUCAGGGGCAGAUUUACCUGGAAAAGAAGAUGUGUUCCAGGUAAUGAAGGCAUUUCAUUGUUCCCAUCCUAUCCAUUGCUUUUAUGGAUUCAGGAUCCACUUGUACCAUUUAAAUUAUUAUGAAUCCCCCAAACUUUCAGUAUAUGUAAAAAUAAUAUAGAUAUAGCAAAUUAAAUGUAUAUGCAUAUAUGUAUAAUAAUAACGGGGAAAUAUUUUCUACUUUCAGCACUUACUAAAAAAUAUAGAACCACUAAUUUCC